GGACGCAUCUAAAAGCUGCAGGACAGUAGCUCUCGAGGACUAGAGCUGGAGACCCCUGUUCUAAUAUCUAUGGACAUUAGUGGAUCUACAGUUUUACAGCUUUCCCCCCCGGGUGGAUGAUUUGUUUUUUUCUUCUAAACGACUCGCGAUUUCACCCAGCAGCAGCGCUCUGCAGAUUAUGUGCCAUGCAGAUCCAGUUACACACACACACGAGCCACUGUGCACUGCUCUUGUGACACCCUCGCAGCACCUCAGGCGCUGAGAUGUUGGCAAGCCAAAACAAGUAGUGAUGAGCAACUCUGACAAAAAGUGCUGACAUGUUUGCCUCUUUCUGUCUUUGUCUGACAAAGUUUUUUUCUUUUUUCCUUAAACAGUUGUGUUACUGUGGAUUAUUUAUUCUUUUGGAAGAGAUUUCUAAUCCACUAACGCGAGGGGCAUGAAAAAUGUCAGUAGUGUUUUCUCUUCAGCAAUUAUGGCAGGAACAACAUGGAAAAACCUGCAACUGGUUUUGCUUUGUCUCUUUCGUGCGUUACAAUUCAAGCCCAUGGAGCAAGAACUGUCACAAAUGAUUUGAAACUUCAUAACUAUUCUAUAUUUACAUGUUGCCAUCAGUUUCAUUGUAUUUUUUAUUAGACCAAUAAAAAAGGACUGUAAUAUAUUAUAACUCAACAGUUUGAGUAACACUGUUCAAUGAAAAUCUCUCAAAUAAUAUGUUCUCUGUGGGACACACACGGGUGUGUGUAUUUGUAACGUGUUUUGUUUGCAUGUGUGAAAGCAAGCAUGAUGUAACACCAGUGUUGCAUGCCUGCUAAGUAUAAGCAUAUUUUGGUAUGGCAGUCCAUAUGGUAAGAUGUUCCAUGUGUUGGGAGUUGCAAACAGUAUUUCAUCAACUGAAACAAUGCCUAGGUACUCUGAUGUAAUGGCACAAUGAUGUUAAUCUAAUUAGCUGCAAUGAUAGCACCAAGAGGGGAGAUGGCUUACAAUGACGUGCUAAUGAUACUUGCAAAGAUUGCCUCAUGAGUAAUCUUACUGGUUUUCCCCCUGACUAAGAUCACGUUUUGAUAAACUGUGUGUUUGUGUGCACCCGUGUGCGUGUGUGGUUUUAUUUCUCUUUCAGUCUUUUGACUGUAACCUUCAUGGUUUUCUGGAUAUACUCUUCAUUCCUGCUGGGUCAUUUUUGGAUGAUGUUAUAUAUGCAGUAAAAGUUUUACAAGGCUGAUCCAAAAUUUAAUAUGUAGGGGGAAAAAACUCAGAUGUAUUUUUUUCUAAACGUGCAGGCUGCUUUCUAACAUCUUGCUUUAUUCGUCUUGGUGUAAUUAAUGUACAUUCACACCUGGGAGUUAAGCAGUAAAACUGAGCAGAUCCAAAGUUUCAUCUGGAGAUUAAAGACCUCUCAACAAAACUGGAGGGUGUUAUGCAUCAGCAGACUUUUUAUUUAAACUAGUGUUUUUUUUUUUUUUGUUUUUUUCAUCCCGUAUGGCUAGAUUCCCCCAGUGACCAUCUAACCCAAUGCCUCCAAGUAGAACUACUCCAAACAAAGUGAAGCUCUCACUUCGCAGCUUUGCCCUUCAACAAAGAGCCUCAAAUGAGGAAAAUGAUGUGAGAAAUUGCGUUACAAAAUUAGCUUCAUAGUUCUGCGCCAGUAGUUCCAUGUUUUGACUUUAGCAUCAGAAAGAUGGACGCUAAACUCACAAAUUUCAUGCUUAUCAGAGGCAAGACCAUAAAGUCUAUGAGAGAGCAUUUUGCAAUGGUAGGAAAACAUCACCUGCAAAAACAGUGAUGCAAAAUCACAAAACUGAACACACGGCUCAGUCUUGAUGAACCAACUAACACACAGGAAGGUUCUCAAACAUAACAUUACACAUUGUUUUUCUUCUUAAUAGAACUGGUGGACCGUUUGAAUCUGUAGGCAUUGUAGGGUAAGCAAAAAUGGGAAAAUUGCAACUCAUUUUUCCCAUUUCUAUGAAUGGAUGGAUAGUUGAUGUGCAUUCUACUCUGAGGUCGAGUAAAAUGUAAAGAACGUGCUAAAACACGCUGUGGAUAGAAUCUUUUCGCCAUGUUAGUGAGACAGCGAUUGAGCCAUGAUGAUAAGGCAACACAUUGCUGACAACAGUGGCCCUUUCAGCUUCUCUGCUUUUCAGUUAAAGGAAAGAACAGAAAGGAAUCAGAUGGUUGGUGGCAGUAAAGUUGAUAGUAGGUUGAAUACGGGGCCCAGUGUGAAAGGGAACAGCUGGGGAUGGAUGGUAAUCUCAAUCUGAUAAUGCUCAUGUGCCCCACAACCAAGCAUGGAAAUGUAAAACACAGUCCGCCACUCCCUGUUUCCAUAUGUGGCUUUCAUUGCCUUCCCUGCCUCUGUAUGUUUGGCGGAGGUGUGCGGCAAAGUAUGUAAAAUAUGUACAAACACACCCAAAUAAGAAGUCAUGUUUUU